rnacentral:rRNA from 1 species
UACGUAGGGUGCGAGCGUUGUCCGGAUUUAUUGGGCGUAAAGGGCUCGUAGGCGGUUUGUCGCGUCGGGAGUGAAAUCCACUGGCUUAACUGGUGGCUUGCUUUCGAUACGGGCAGACUGGAGGUAUGCAGGGGAGAACGGAAUUCCUGGUGUAGCGGUGAAAUGCGCAGAUAUCAGGAGGAACACCGGUGGCGAAGGCGGGUCUCUGGGCAGUAACUGACGCUGAGGAGCGAAAGCGUGGGGAGCGAACAGG